rnacentral:rRNA from 1 species
GUGCCAGCAGCCGCGGUAAUACGUAGGUCACAAGCGUUACCCGGUUUUAUUGGGCGUAAAGCGUCUGUAGGUGGUUUUGCAAGUCUUGUUUCAAAGACCUCGGCUCAACCGAGGGCAGGGGCAGGAUACUGUAAGACUAGAGUGAUAUCGGGGUUACUGGAAUUUUUAGUGUAGGGGUAAAAUCCGUGAUACUAAAAAGAACACCAAGCGCGAAGGCGGGUAACCAGGUAUUUACUGACACUCAGAGACGAAAGCUAGGGUAGCCAAUCAGAUUAGAGACCUGAGUAGUCCUAGCCGUAAACGAUGUAUGUUAAUUCUCUGCAAUUUAUUGUGGGGGAUGUAAGCUAACGCGUUAAACAUACCGCCUGGGGAGUAUAGCCGCAAGGCCGAAACUCAAACGAAUUGGCGGGGAGGCGCACAACCAGUGGAGCAUGUGGUUCAAUUCGAUACAAAGCGAUGAACCUUACCUGGGUUUGACAUGUAUCUGCAAACUCCCAGAAACGGGAGAAUCCUUCGAGGGUGAUACACAGCUGUUGCAUGGCUGUCGUCAGCUCGUGACGUGAGUUGUUCUCUUAAGUGAGGUAACGAGCGCAACCCCCAUCCGGUGUUACUGUGUCACCGGAGACUGCCUAGCAUUAUUUUGUUAGGAGGAAGGAGGGGACGACGUCAAGUCAGCAUGAUGCUUAUGUCCAGGGCUACACACAUCCUACAAUGGGGAGUACAAUGGGUCGCAAAACCGCGAGGUGGAGCUAAUCCCACAAAACUUCCCUCAGUUGGGACUGCAGGCUGAAACUCGCCUGCACGAACCCGGAAUUGGUAGUAAUCGCGCAUCAGCAGCGCGCGGUGAAUACGUUCUCGCCUCUUGCACACACCGCCCGUC